CCUACGGGAGGCAGCAGUGGGGAAUAUUGCACAAUGGGCGCAAGCCUGAUGCAGCCAUGCCGCGUGUGUGAAGAAGGCCUUCGGGUUGUAAAGCACUUUCAGCGGGGAGGAAGGCGUUAAGGUUAAUAACCUUGGCGAUUGACGUUACCCGCAGAAGAAGCACCGGCUAACUCCGUGCCAGCAGCCGCGGUAAUACGGAGGGUGCAAGCGUUAAUCGGAAUUACUGGGCGUAAAGCGCACGCAGGCGGUCUGUCAAGUCGGAUGUGAAAUCCCCGGGCUCAACCUGGGAACUGCAUUCGAAACUGGCAGGCUAGAGUCUUGUAGAGGGGGGUAGAAUUCCAGGUGUAGCGGUGAAAUGCGUAGAGAUCUGGAGGAAUACCGGUGGCGAAGGCGGCCCCCUGGACAAAGACUGACGCUCAGGUGCGAAAGCGUGGGGAGCAAACGGGAUUAGAUACCCGAGUAGUC
rnacentral:rRNA from 1 species